AGAGGGUCCAAAGCAGUGUACAGGAGAAGAGGCAUUCGAGCUCCCUGGAGAUAACAGAUCUGGUGUCAGCUGGGCAGAGGCUGGAAGAGAAAACAAGAGGUGGAUGAACUCACAGCAAUCCACGUGGGACAGCUUUUCCCCAGCACAACAGAACGUUGGGCACUGAGGCGUUUCUCUGGAUCACUGUGAAGGGACUCGGCUUCCACUUGUGCUUCAGCGGGCGAGUGUCACUUCUGGGGACAAAAACCUAUCAGUCACUAAGUCCAAACCUCUCCAUGACAAAGCCUGGCCCCCGCUGAGGGCAGCAGAGCCUCCAACAAAACAAAUGAAGCCUCUGUGUACCA